UACUAAUCAAUAUGUGAGUUGAUCAAGGAAAAAUCUAGCACGUACAUGCAAGUUGGCUGAAACAAGCUAGACAUAUUAGAGGCUCACGUGUGGAAGAAAGAAGGAGCAAGGACCUGAUGGCAGUACGAAAAAGGAAGCUUAAUUAAUUAGGACUUUACAUAAGGAAAGUUAGAGUCCGUGUAUCUUAAUAUUUCUUUUUGUUUAGAUAUUUUGUAUCAGGUAGUUUUGAUACGGUUCCUUCUAGGAGUUGUUAGUUCAGAGCAUAAAUAUGUACCUCCAGUCAUUGUAAAAUCAUCACACGAUCAAUAAACAAACAUAUUUACCUUUACCUUUCGGCUUCACACCAUUGUUCUAGGAGUAGGAUUAAUGUAGCUUCUCAACGAGUUCCUUCUAGCAAGCUGAGCUGCAUCGACCUCGAUCUCCGGCAAGCUGCAAGUUCCCAUCAUCAGGUGUACUAGACUUCAACUUCCGGGCGCAUCACUAUCGUUGGGUCUGGUUUCAUCUACGAGUUAUCGAGUAUCUUGGAUCUUUGACUUAUGUCGCAUCGCUUCUGUCUCGAUCUACGGUAUUCACGAGUUAUCC
rnacentral:lncRNA from 1 species